AUUGAACGCUGGCGGCAUGCCUUACACAUGCAAGUCGAACGGUAACGGGUCCUUCGGGAUGCCGACGAGUGGCGAACGGGUGAGUAAUAUAUCGGAACGUGCCCAGUAGUGGGGGAUAACUGCUCGAAAGAGCAGCUAAUACCGCAUACGACCUGAGGGUGAAAGGGGGGGAUCGCAAGACCUCUCGCUAUUGGAGCGGCCGAUAUCAGAUUAGCUAGUUGGUGGGGUAAAGGCCUACCAAGGCAACGAUCUGUAGUUGGUCUGAGAGGACGACCAGCCACACUGGGACUGAGACACGGCCCAGACUCCUACGGGAGGCAGCAGUGGGGAAUUUUGGACAAUGGGCGCAAGCCUGAUCCAGCAAUGCCGCGUGCAGGAAGAAGGCCUUCGGGUUGUAAACUGCUUUUGUCAGGGAAGAAAUCUUCUGGGCUAAUACCCCGGGAGGAUGACGGUACCUGAAGAAUAAGCACCGGCUAACUACGUGCCAGCAGCCGCGGUAAUACGUAGGGUGCGAGCGUUAAUCGGAAUUACUGGGCGUAAAGCGUGCGCAGGCGGCUUUGCAAGACAGAUGUGAAAUCCCCGGGCUCAACCUGGGAGCUGCAUUUGUGACUGCAAGGCUAGAGUACGGCAGAGGGGGAUGGAAUUCCGCGUGUAGCAGUGAAAUGCGUAGAUAUGCGGAGGAACACCAAUGGCGAAGGCAAUCCCCUGGGCCUGUACUGACGCUCAUGCACGAAAGCGUGGGGAGCAAACAGGAUUAGAUACCCUGGUAGUCCACGCCCUAAACGAUGUCAACUGGUUGUUGGACGGCUUGCUGUUCAGUAACGAAGCUAACGCGUGAAGUUGACCGCCUGGGGAGUACGGCCGCAAGGUUGAAACUCAAAGGAGUUGACGGGGACCCGCACAAGCGGUGGAUGAUGUGGUUUAAUUCGGUGCAACGCGAAAAACCUUACCUACCCUUGACAUGUCAAGAAUUCUGCAGAGAUGUGGAAGUGCUCGAAAGAGAACUUGAACACAGGUGCUGCAUGGCCGUCGUCAGCUCGUGUCGUGAGAUGUUGGGUUAAGUCCCGCAACGAGCGCAACCCUUGUCAUUAGUUGCUACGCAAGAGCACUCUAAUGAGACUGCCGGUGACAAACCGGAGGAAGGUGGGGAUGACGUCAGGUCCUCAUGGCCCUUAUGGGUAGGGCUACACACGUCAUACAACGGCCGGUACAGAGGGCUGCCAACCCGCGAGGGGGAGCCAAUCCCAGAAAACCGGUCGUAGUCCGGAUCGUAGUCUGCAACUCGACUGCGUGAAGUCAGAAUCGCUAGUAAUCGCGGAUCAGCUUGCCGCGGUGAAUACGUUCCCGGGUCU
rnacentral:rRNA from 1 species